AUUGAACGCUGGCGGCAGGCUUAACACAUGCAAGUCGAGCGGGGGAAGGUAGCUUGCUACCGGACCUAGCGGCGGACGGGUGAGUAAUGCUUAGGAAUCUGCCUAUUAGUGGGGGACAACAUCUCGAAAGGGAUGCUAAUACCGCAUACGCCCUACGGGAGAAAGCAGGGGAUCUUCGGACCUUGCGCUAGUAGAUGAGCCUAAGUCGGAUUAGCUAGUUGGUGGGGUAAAGGCCUACCAAGGCGACGAUCUGUAGCGGGUCUGAGAGGAUGAUCCGCCACACUGGGACUGAGACACGGCCCAGACUCCUACGGGAGGCAGCAGUGGGGAAUAUUGGACAAUGGGGGGAACCCUGAUCCAGCCAUGCCGCGUGUGUGAAGAGGGCCUUAUGGUUGUAAAGCACUUUAAGCGAGGAGGAGGCUACUCUAGUUAAUACCUAGGGAUAGUGGACGUUACUCGCAGAAUAAGCACCGGCUAACUCUGUGCCAGCCGCCGCCGUAA
rnacentral:rRNA from 1 species